UGGGGAAUAUUGCACAAUGGGCGCAAGCCUGAUGCAGCCAUGCCGCGUGUGUGAAGAAGGCCUUCGGGUUGUAAAGCACUUUCAGCGAGGAGGAAGGGUUCAGUGUUAAUAGCACUGUUCAUUGACGUUACUCGCAGAAGAAGCACCGGCUAACUCCGUGCCAGCAGCCGCGGUAAUACGGAGGGUGCAAGCGUUAAUCGGAAUUACUGGGCGUAAAGCGCACGCAGGCGGUUUGUUAAGUCAGAUGUGAAAUCCCCGCGCUUAACGUGGGAACUGCAUUUGAAACUGGCAAGCUAGAGUCUUGUAGAGGGGGGUAGAAUUCCAGGUGUAGCGGUGAAAUGCGUAGAGAUCUGGAGGAAUACCGGUGGCGAAGGCGGCCCCCUGGACAAAGACUGACGCUCAGGUGCGAAAGCGUGGG
rnacentral:rRNA from 1 species